GACGAACGCUGGCGGCGUGCCUAAUACAUGCAAGUAGGACGCAGUUGCGAACGGGUGAGUAACGCCUAGGUAACUACCUAUUAGAGGGGGAUAACCAUUGGAAACGAUAGCCAAUACCGCAUACUAGUAGAUGGACCUGCGUUGUAUUAGCUAGUAGGUUGGGUAAUGGCCUACAUAGGCAACGAUACAUAGCCGACCUGGGGGGGUGAUCGGCCACACUGGGACUGGGGCACGGCCCAGGCUGCUACGGGAGGCAGCAGUAGGGAAUCUUCGGCAAUGGGGGGAACCCUGACCGAGCAACGCCGCGUGGGUGGAGAAGGUUUUCGGAUCGUAAAGCUCUGUUGUUAAGGAAGCGUUACUUGACCAGAAAGGGACGGCUAACUACGUGCCAGCAGCCGCGGUAAUAC
rnacentral:rRNA from 1 species